GUGGUAGGACCUCUUGUGAGUCCGCUCGGGUGGGUACCACCACCCUGCCUAUUUCUGCCGUGAAGCAGUAAUGCGUUUCGGUUUGAAGGGUGGGGCAGCCAUUGUAACUAUACUGAGACCUUAGAACUUAUAUCUCAAGGUGGGUGGCGCAUUUUACGUUAUGGAUGUCUAUGGGCUCCAGUAACCACUUAACACCAGGUGGGCUGGGAGCUCGUCCACCCAUCUAAGCAAUAAAAAAUAAAAAUAAAAAGCCAAUAAUAUGAACAGUAAUCAUUACAUUGCAGUGUGCACGGAGCUUACGUAUUCAAAUUGUCGUUUUUGUUCCGCAGUGUAAUUAAUUCCUAACAAGCGACACAGUUCGCGUACAGAUACGACUCGCACACCGAAGGCAGGAAAUGGCUGCAGUUUUGAAAUGACAAGAAUUCAAUACGCCCGUGGCUCAGACGUGGCAAGUACUCUUCGGACCAUCCUGCCGAGACAAUCGUGAAGUGAAACACAGAUGAGUGCUGUUUACAAAAUCUUAUUCAACUAUUCGUCAGACUUUGAGCUGAACGCCAGACGAGCCACGUGGUACCUCAUGAAUAUAAUAAUGCGCGUCCACCUUGAGGCACGAGGCUGUCUCAUUUGUAUAACGAGUGUCCCACAAUUCAAGCAGAACUUGGCAUCUAAUUUUUUUUUAUUGCUUAGAUUGGUGGACGAACUCACAGCCCACCUGGUGUCAAGUUGUUACUGGAGCCCAACAACGUAAAUUCGGCCACCUACCUUGAGAUAUAAGUUCUAAGGUCUCAAGUAUAGUUACAGCAGCUGCCCCACCCUUCAAACCGAAACGCAUUACUGCUUUACGGCAGAAAUAGGCAGGCAUAGGAUAGGCAAAUCUAAGACUGCUCUUGCCUAUCUGCAUAUCUACGAGGUAUGAAUAGAUUGAUUGUAUUUUAUAUUGCAUUGAUGGGUGCCGAGCUCACGAAUCACAUUGUUUAAAGUGGUUACCAUAGCUCAUACACAUCAGAAUAUCGACGCCUUGACCCUCUUUGAAACGUGAGAUCGAAGUCUGAAAAGUAUAAUGGGCCCCCCGCCUCUCCCACGGGACCGCGGUCGACACAGGCAGGGCAGAGCUACCAUCAGCCCCACUGUACCUGCUGUUGUUGCUGUAUCUGCAUUUGCCGAAUCUGUUGCUCCAGCUCUAGGUUCCGUUUGGACAGGCAGCGGAGUUCCUCCGUACCAGACGAGGAAGCCUCCACAGUUUCUGUCAAAUUUAGCAUCAUGAAGUUGCAUUAGCCUAUUCUGACAUCUAACACGUUCAGGUCGUAUAUUCACAUUCUGUAUUAGCAAAAAUCUGUAAACUGUGAGUUAAUCCACCAAUCUUAUUUAUGAUAUUCGUCUUAGUCUUAUGAAUGCUUCAUUGGUCAUUGGAACGCACGACUGGUUCGAAAAAGAAAAUAUUGUAAAUAAAAAAUAAAAAAAAUAUUGCAGAUAAAUUCUUGCAGUCAGAACAAUAAAGUGUAUGCUGCCUACUGUAUUUCUGGUACGUGCCAUUUGAUCCUUCUAGAUUGAGGAGUGCAAAAACAAUUUUUCCAUUAUUUCCCAUGUUCCACAUUAAUAUUAUUGAGAUUUCAAAGGAAGUAACAGCUUUUAUGUCUGUGUCCGUUAUCCAUUUUCUUUCUAAAUGUCAAUAUAGACAGGAAUCUUAAUGGUAUUGUACCACAGUAAAUGUGGGACCCUAUAAGCGUGAUGCAUGCAUGAUGUGACAAAAAGAGAGAUAUAGACACGACAAUGGCAGUGUCAAGUACAUACAUACCCUUUACUCCCCAAAUGCAAAAAGAUGGUAACAUUUUAAACAAAUCCAGUUAUGAACAAAUCUAUAUCAAACUAAAUAAACAUAAUUAAAAAAAAUUGCAUAUGAGCCUCUUAAAUCCUGUUUUAUCAAAAAACCAGUGCAAGUACCACAAAACUAAAAUAUUCACACAACUUAUCACAAUAAACCACUCUACUGUACUGACUGAGUUUGGGGAAAACAGUUAAAACAGUUAAAUUGAACAAAAUACAUUGAUUGUAACAUUAUUAAAAUUAAUUAAUUAGCUCUAUAUUGUGUUAGUAAGCUGAGUGUAAAUUACAGGUUGAACUAAAUAAUUUUCAGAGUUUGGUACCACAAUCUUUUGUUACAAAGUAUAAUACUCGUAGUAAUGUCAUCUAGUUCAGGGAGUGUUUAGAGAAUAUACAAUAUUCCCAUACAUUUAAGGCUUUGAGAUGGAUUGUUUAAGAUUCAAAGUGGUUAAAUUUGCAUAGUUAUAUUUGUGUAUUUUUAAUUGAUAAUUGUAGGCAUACAAUAUUUAUUGUUAGAGAAAAUGAACACGUUUACUUAUUGUUGGGGUAGUAUUAUAUAACUUAAAAGCUCACUAUUAGUACUUCUAAAUUUAAGUAGUAAAACACCAGACAUAAGGUUUUCAAAUAUUGAUGUUCUUGAUCAUAGUCUAGAAAUUCAUUUUGGCUUUCAGUGUUAUAUGUACUCAUCAUUAUCCUGCCCUUCUCCCAGUCACCUGGGGUCGGCGCAACAUGUUUUCUCCUUCCGUACUCUUCUAUCAUAUACCAUUUCUUCGCUCACUCCCCUCUUACCCAUAUCGUCUUUCACACAAUCCAUCCAUUUCUUCUUAGGUCUACCUCUUCCUCUAAAUCCUUCCACAUUCAUAGUUAACACUCUCUUACCAACCUCAUUUUCAUUUCGUCUCAUCACAUGUCCAUACCAUCCCAAACGCGCACUCCUCAGCUUCUCUGUCACACGUGCCACUUUCAGACUUCCUCUAACAUAUUCAUUCUGUAUUCUAUCCAUUCUCGUUGUUAUAUGUUCUCAUUGUUAUAUGUACUGUUUCAAUAUUAUAUGGUAGAGGAACGGAAA